UACGGGGGGGGCAAGCGUUGUUCGGAAUUACUGGGCGUAAAGGGCUCGUAGGCGGCCAACUAAGUCAGACGUGAAAUCCCUCGGCUUAACCGGGGAACUGCGUCUGAUACUGGAUGGCUUGAGUUUGGGAGAGGGAUGCGGAAUUCCCAGUGUAGAGGUGAAAUUCGUAGAUAUUGGGAAGAACACCGGUGGCGAAGGCGGCUAUCUGGACCGACAUUGACGCUGAGGCGCGAAAGCGUGGGGAGCGAACAGG
rnacentral:rRNA from 1 species